AAAGGAUGCAGGCUGUCUUCGGUGCUGCGCAUGCGUUUUUCGUGAGUGCGUUUCUGAGCUACAGUUAAUGGGCCUUUUGUCGCUGUGUUCGAUGGAGGCAGUAGCAUCGCCUUAGAGACCUCUCAAACAUCUGACAUUUACCGUAUGUGCCUCUUCCAUUGUGCAACUUUGGCCACCCCUGAAAGUGAACAUGGAAUGCAAGACGGAUGAAUCAAGGCAAGCUGGAAACAGUAAAGCAAGAUAUGGAAUGCUUAAACAUCACAAUAUUUGGGAUGAAAUAACUAAAGUGGACUGGAAUAGGGCACAUUCAGUCAAAUGCUAAAUGUUUUACUCCAGAAAUGCAAAACUCAGAAGAAAUGGACUGACUCUUGUAUUGAAGCAAGGUGUUCAGGCAGUAAGGAGCUAUAAUGCAAAAUCUAACCAAAUAAUAUCAGAGUUUGUAGAAAAUCUAUCAAAGUAGCCAUCAUUCAGUGGAGGAAGCAAAAAAGAUCAUUAAGUGUAAAGGAUGUUUCACUGGAGAUGGACAGGAUCAUCCGCACUGGUGUAUUCCCUGUCACUAUGUAUGGGUGUGAAAGCUGGACUGUGAAAACAGCUGACAGGAAAAAAAUGGAGGAGAGCUUAAUGAAUACUACUGACUGACAGAAAGAUAAACAAGUGGGUCCUAAAUCAAAUGAAGCAGGAUUUUCGCUGAAAGGAAAAAAAAGUUUCUUCUGUGGGAUUAGUCUAGAAGACUGUUCAGAAGAUUCAUUUUGUGCAUUUUGCAGUAACUGGUACAGGGUAUCAAGAUCACAUUACAACUUCAUUGAAAUUCCUGUACUGGUUGCAAGUUGCUAUCUCAGCCCAAUUCAAGUUGUUGGUGUUAUCUUUAAUUCUCCAAACAGUUUAGUGCCUGUCUCUCAGUUCAAAUUAAGUUCCCUGUUGAAAUUAAAAAGAACUGUCUGUAGAAGCAGCAAUAACAAAACCAAGGGUAUUGUACUUUAGGCACAUCAUGAGAAAAACAAGACUCACUGAAGAGUUCAAUUAUACUAGGGAAAGUCAGAGGUGCAAGAAGAGGAGGUAGACCAAAUAGAAGAUGGAUUGGCAGCAUAAAGGAAAUUACAGCCUCAAAUUUACAAAAGCUGAGCUGGGCUGUGAAGAAUGGAACAUUUUGGAGAGCUUUCAUUCAUGGGGUUGCCAUAAAUCAGAGACAACAUGAUGGUACAAAAACAACAGAGUUAAUAACAAACUGGAUAUGACAUUGCAUGUGAAGGGUCAGGAAUGGAGCUUGAGAUUAAUAAACAUAUGAUCAAAGAACACCUAAUUUCUUUGAAUGAGUUCAGAUCUCCAGGGCUGUGCAUGUAGGCAGGUAGGGAUGCUCUAGUGUCAAGGGUUUUCUACUCUAAAUCCUUUCUCCUGAAGUCAUGUUUUUGAAAUGUAAAUACACCUGUAUUAAUUGACUUAGAUGAUGAUAGCAGGCCUGUCCAGACAUUCAGAAGAAUAUAUGAAGACUUAAGUGAAAGGAUGAGGCUGUACAUACCCAUAUAACCCAACCCUCUCAGUUCAGGUCCUAGUGUUAAUCUAGCAAAAUCUGAAUAGUUUUAUUUGCAUUUGCUUGAACAGGAUGAGAACACCCAUAUCUUUGAGCCAUCAGUUGCAGCAGGACCUUAUGAAAUUGAGAGUUUGGUGAGCCAGAAUGAUUGCCCUCUGCUCAAAACUGCUCCAGCAUAGGCUAUGAAAGAGCGAGGAACUCAAGCACAGUCAAUAAGAGAUACCUGAAAAGCAAGGAAGUUACUAGCAUGAAAUGCAGGACAGGGAUUCUCUUUUAUUCUUGUUAAUCUUUUUUUUUUUUGGUAAAUAAUAAACAGAAAGGAAAACAUGGAAUCUGUUUCCAUAGAUUUGGGGUUUUCUUAAAGUUCAAUAGAUGAGAGGUACUUGCUUAGAAAAAUAAAGGAUACUUGGAGUUGAGUUUGCCCUCUGGAGAGCAGAAGAGCAGCAGGCUACCUGCAGCCAUCAGCCAGAGGACCUAGGACCAGUGGGAGGCUGGAGGAAUAAAUUCAACUCGAAUUCUUAGGCUCCAUUCAUCAGCUCACACAACAAGAGCCACCAACUGCUAUUCAAACAGGUUGUCAGCAAGGAAAGAACAACCUGUUCUGCUGUGUAUUUAUUUAUAUCUCCACUUAUAAUUCACUGUCUUUCAAUGAAAAUGCUUGAAAAUUAAUCUCCCAUGUGUUUGUUUUCCUUCUGUUCCCAUUAUUUUCCAUAUUUUGUCAAUUUAGUUUGUAAACAUUAUGAUGGGGCAUAGCUCCUUUUUACUCAUGUCAGCCAAUUUAGGAAGAAUAUCUGAAAAACAGAAUAAAAAUGGGGCAAAUAAAAAUAUAAAUUAAAAACAUCAUGACAGAUGAGAGGUAAAUAUGCUAUUCUGACUGAAUGUAAUGAUAACAGAAACCCUGUUCAGACAUUCAGGAGAAUAUGUGAGAGGUUAAAACAUAUAAAGGGUGGGGGGAAAUGCUGUACACCUUGGCCCUGUCUCUUCACUUAAGACCUUGCAGUGUCAGCCCAGCACAGUGCUCCUCAUGUUUGCUUGAAUGUAAGCAGAAGGCUUAGCAGAGUUGGGACCUUGCCUUAGCAGUGAGCUCACAGACCCUGCCUGGGCUCCUGUAGGGUAACAAGAAACCCAGCACGUCUCAAGAUGUUCUGCAAAACUAGGAGAGCUUUCAAAAGGGGACAGAGCUUUCAAACAGUAAGACAAAGAAAGUUUGUCCAAGGGAUAGCAUCCUCCAUGCGAAAGGCAUGGUAAGGAUUCAGUACAAUUUCUGGAUGACAUUGAUUCCUCUGUUGAAACAGAGUUGGCAUCCUCAUCUCACUUUUCUACUAAAUCAUCGGUCGAAACUGGCGAUGAUUCACGGGCACGCAGCGACAAGCACUCGGAGACUGGCUGAGGGCAAGACUCGCUCAGCAGGGGACUGGGUGAAGCAUCAGCUCUCCCGCCUCCUCGCUGUCGUGUCUUGUGCUUCUCCCUCUCCGCUGAAAGCGUAAAGACUACCCAACAAGGUAAUCGUUUUCGGGGACAAAAACCCCGCGCUCUCAGCUGCUGCCCUCCUCGCUCUCUGCCCCUUUGGAAAGUGACGGUCUGGGCGCGCGCGCGCGCGCGCAGGCAAUGGCAGCCUGCAAGUCUGCUGCUCGGCUGUUUGGUUCAGUUACUGUCUCGGCGCCCGGGGCGAUCCCUGGGAUGGAAGGAAGGAAAUUCGUCUAGUUUACCUUCAAGUCGUUUAGGAAUUUCAAGGCUGCCGCAGCAGCGUUUGAUGUUUGGGGAAAGUGACUGAAGUGUUUCUUCUCUUUCAAGCUGAUUCAGAGUCAUAACAGGUAGUAGUAGCUAGGAAGUCAAUAGAUAGCUGGCCUAUAUAAAUAGCAGUCCCAUAAAUCCACCGAAUGCUAAUGAACUGCCCACCUCUUAGAUUCAUUCAAACUCGUCUCCAUUCUUGAAAAGAUUUUUUGAUGGGUCUUCCAUUUGGAAGACCAUGUCUUUCCAUCCAUGUAGCAGUCAUUUUCCUCUUCUCCCUAUUGUUAGGGAUGCAACAAUGAAAAUCCUACGCACACUAACUUCGAAAAGAAUACUUUGAACGAAUGGAACUUCAAAGAAAAAAAAUGCAGUGCUUCUAGCUACAAAGAGAUCUGCCAGAUUAUAUACCUGACACUUUAUAUGUUGAAGCUGCUUGUGAGCAUGCACACAUUUUGUAUUUGGUUCACACUAAAGAAAGCCUGUGGGGGAUUUGCUGGCCAAAGCACAGGAAUGAAAAUAAGCAUUCAUGGGUCUGGUCAUGUGUUAGAGCAAAGCAGUUCUCAAGCAAGAUUCUCAGGGUACAGGAGGUUUAAGCUUUUGGCUAAUAAUAGUAAUAGUAUUCCAUUGCAUGUUUCUACAAGGAAAAAUUCCUAACAAAAUGGCAGAACCAUUACUAUAUAGGGACCUAGAUUUAACUAUCAACAUGUUUUAUUAUGGUAUAACACACAUACCAUAUAUUCUCAUCCAGUAUGCAGGAAAAAGAACAGGAUGAUUUGCAGGCAAUAUGUAUUGGCAGGCAAUAUCAUACUAAAUCAGUAUGAGGAGCCCCAGCCAAUGUUUUUUCUUCUCUGUGUGAAUUGAUAUAGAGGAAGGCGUGUUUCCAAGCAGACAAAUAGAUAAGAAAUUUCAGUCUUGCUCCUCAUGGAACAUCAUAAAUAUGUUGCCACUGGGAGAAUAACUAGUCUGUGACUGCCUUCAACAGCUUGUGUGUAUUUUCAAACUGUGCUACAGGUACAGACCUGACCACAAAGUUCCCCUAAGAAUGAAGCACAUUUUUUUAGUUUUGAAGAAUGUUUAAAAAUACAAAUAACCAAAUAUUUUGGGUAUAAAUGGGUUUGUUCUGACUCCAAAUAGUUUAACAAUGGGGUGGAGUGGGGAAAGGGUCUAUGUGCUUAAUUCUUGGCAGUGUUGGCAGGGACAAAAGGUGGCACUGGCCAAACACCAGCCUAGAAAGGUAGGCUGUUAACAUCUCUUUUGACUAACUCGGACUGAGCCAGGAGAAUAUCAGACUUUAUAAGAAGCGCUUAAGUCUUAUACAACAAGUGGCAUCCUCUCUUUCAAAUCUCUAAGCUUGAGACCUUCAACUGUAGCAAUAGCCAAGAGCAAAGCUUUGGAGCUGGAGUUACUACCAAGGCUCAACUAAAUGAAUGCAGUAUUUCUAUUAUGAUAGGUGGUAAGUUAAUUUACAAAAAGAGAAAAAGGGCUACCAUAAAGCAAACAGAGCAAUAUUUGGAAACAGUACUUAUCAAAGCAAAAUAAUAGAACUGGCUAAAACCUGCCUAUUAAUAACAAAGAAUGGGCCUUCAGUAGGACAAGGUCAAACAGAACCAAUUGAAACCCAAGAUGAAAAAGAGCCAAUGGGCAACUGAACCUCACCCCUGCUUCAUAUCUUCAAACCAUUCACAAAACUAACAGCUAGGAGUAUGAACACCUACUAUUAUUUUUUUUACCAGACUCCAAUAAAAUACACUGUAGCUCCUGAAAGCCUGAAAUCCACCUACCCCGUAUUGAUUCCAAUGAGUGACUGGUAAAUGCAAAUUCAUAUAGCAAUAUAUAGCAUUUACAAAUUGUUUGUAAAGGUAUCAGAAGGCACAAUACGUUCCAGCUAUAGAACUAUGGUUUUUAGGGAACAGUGUGUUUGAGUUUGGCUCUAGUUGCUUGUUCACAUCUCAGCUCACUGGAUAGACUUAGGACAUUUGUUACAUCUAGCUUUAAAUAAAUUUAAAAGUUUUAAAUAAAUAAGAGAGGGAGGAUUUCCAGAACCAAGGUCAGAGAAAGUGCUCCACCCUUGAAGCAGAGCCCCUUCUCUCCUGCCCUUUGCAGCUGCAAUGGGAAGAGCCAUGCUGGCUGCCCUCCAAGGUCAGAAAAGCAGCCAUGGAGAAGGGGUUUUUCAGGGAAGGAAAGAAACCAGACAGGGCAAGGUAGGAGCUAUUCUGAUAUUUCUGCAGCCUCCUUCCCUCCCCGCACUCUCAAAAUGCUCAGCUAAAGAGGCAAUAAAGCCCAUCUGGGAGAAAAUGCAGUGCAAGAGAACAGAGAGGUGAUUGCAGUGUUUGAUCAGAGGCUUCUGAGUUAAGGGGCUUGUGGCCAUCACCACAGACUUGCGCCUUUAAUAAAGAUAUAUAGAAAAAUAAACAUGUUAUUAGUGCUUUAAGGGUAGCUUGUUUUAAAUAGCAUGCAUAUUCAUAUGCCAGAUAUUGCUAUGGAAGGGAAAGUAUUUGUUUACAUUCUCAUUCUCUAAGAACACUCAUACCCCAUUAACGUUUUAACGAAAAAUAUUCAGAGGAUGCUGUGUUGAAACAUUAGCAUUUGUACAAGAGAAAUAAGGUGAUUUACAACAUCUCAUUAGCCACAGACAGACAUGCUAUGUAUGUGAGUGAAAGUAACUUGCAAAGAUAAGUUUUCCAUAUAGCUGUUUACACAAAUGCAUGAACUUGUGGAUUUGCUUCAAGAGUUUUAGGUGACAGACACUUAAAAUUGAUGUUCACAAGGUGCUUUUCUUAUAUAUGGAGUCCAUCCUAUGUAUGAAACUGAUACUGAAUGGAUUCUUGCUUAUUUAAGCUGCUGCUGCAAAUUUUAAGGCAGUCAUUAUGGCCUUGUAACAUUAUUUAUCAUAUCUUCCUGUGGGUUGUUUCCUCAAAAAAUGUUAGGAGCUGAAAUGCAAGAGACCUGCUCCACUGCAGGUAUAAUCAAGUUCUGCUGUAGGUGCUUUGCUACUUUGGAGUUUUUAGAGAGAAACUGUAUCAGUCAAAUCUUCAAUGUGGAAUACUGGAAUAUUGUGUUCAGUUCAGGUUGCCUUACUAGAAAAAGGACAUUGGUGGGAGGCCCAGGACAGAUAAAGUACUCCUUCACAUAGUGUAUUGUUAAACUAUGGAAUUUGCUGCCAUGUGAAGUGGUGAUGUCUGCCAGUCUGGAUGGCUUUAAAAAGGGACUGGACAGACUCACAAGGGAGGAAGGUAUCAGUGGCUACCAGCCUUGCUAGUUGUGUGCUGCCUCCUUUACCAGAAGUGGUAUGACUGACUACACCAGUAACUGAAGUCUUACACUCAUCCUGCUUGGGGGAUCCUGUGAGCAGCUGUGUAUGGAGUGCUGAACUAGAUGGACCAUUGGUCUGAUCCAGCAUGACUUGAUGUUCUUAUGUUCUUAGUCUGUCUGCCAUCAUGUGGGCAUGUGCACAAGCACACAGGCACUCAUGCAGUUACAGAAGAUGAACAUAUGUAGAUCAAUUUUUAAAAGGCAAGCUUGUGAUGAUGCUUUCAUUCUAAUACAUACCUACCCAUCCCACUCUUAUUCUCCACACAUCCCACUAUACGAAACAAUAUGAAAGAAGGGGUGGACAUGUUUCUUCUGUGACAGGAACUACCCUUUUCUCAUUGUGACAGCUUGUUUUAUUGUAAGCCACCCAGAGAGCCCUAUGGGCUAUGGGGUGGUAUAUAAAUGUAGUAGUAGUAGUAAUAAUGUAGAGAGGGGGAAUGAUGCAAAAUGAUUGACAUCAGAAUUCUGCACCAAGUGUUCUGAACUACUGUCCAUGGCAGCUGUACAUAGUGGAGCAAAUAAUACAAGGGAUUGCCAAAGAACAGAUUAUUUCAGCAAGUGGUUUAACUAGCUGGAGCAGAUAAAAUCUACUCCUAAGCUGCUGUUGCUGCUAAAACAUCAAACAGCAAAGCUGAGUAGCAUACCAAGUCUAUAUAUGUCUUUCUACCUGGAAGACUUAAGGAAAUAAAGAGCCUUCAGAAACACAGAAUCAGAUGAGGCCAACUUGAAGAUUACUUUUUUUUGUGGCACACCAAAAUACCACACUGUGGUGCUGCAGCCUUUUUUUGCUCACUAUUCUAUUUCUAUGACACAGUAACUUUUUGUCAGCAUGGCAUGCAACUUUCUGUUCCCAAAUAUAUUUCUUUCCCCCUUUUAAAUUAUGCAGAUAGUACCCUUGUGGGUUGUUCCCAAUCUUCUCACCUUCACUAGAUUUAUGAUUAAUUUAAUUCAUUAUUCUGUAUUAUCCUUUUAUGACUGGGACUGCAUUGCAUCAGAUAACGUUCUUUUUUUUUUUUUUUUUGAUAUUUCAAUCAUCUUUCUAAGAGUACAUGACCAAACAGGGAAAUAGAAUGCACUGUAUAUCCACAGUGAGAUGUGAUAGGUACAUGAAGCUGUAGAUGGCAGAGCUACACCGGUAUAUUGUAGGCAACUCAGUAUGCUAUCCAUUGUUCUGCCUCUACUCUUAAGUGCCAUCAGAACUGUCAUCAGUAGAUCUUAUUUAAAGUAUCAGUUAUCCAAAUCCAUUCUUUCAAAUAGGAUGGCGAGUAAGCAGAUCAACAAUACACUCAUCUGCCAUACACACACCAAAAAGAAGCUCUGUUGAAGUUCUUUUAGAUUCACUGUACAGAGCCCAUCAGAAGGGCAGUGGUUUGCAUUAUAAGUUGCUCCAGUUGGUAAUUUGUUUUGCCACAUGCAAACCCUUGGGAAUUUGCCAAUCUACUUAAAUGUUUUUAAUCAUUAUUUUAAUUAGUAGUGCAGCACUCCCCCACCAAGCCACAUUUGUGAAGGCUGUUGUGCCUGGGAGUUCUGGGUACCUGGAGAUGGCUAUUUGUGAUCAGAAUUUAGCAUGCCUCUGUUCAGACCUCCUCUAGAGAAAUGGCUUGGAAGCUAUUUUAAGUGUUUUACAAGAAACAUGACCAGGACAGAGAAGUGAAAAUUACAUUUUAAAAGCCAGUGAUGCAGAAGUUCCUAAAGCAAUAUAAGUAGUCAAAUCAAGAACAAUAUUUCAUCAUUGCAAUCCACUACAAGGCUCUGAAGGACUGGUUAUUGUCUGAUAUUGCAAUAUUUAAUUUCUUAGCACUGCUUCAUGUUUGGCAUCUUUAAACAGAAAACAACUUUGUCUUCCAUUCUAGCAUGCAGUUGAUAAGAAGUGACAAUCCUGUACAUGUGAGAGUUAGUGUAGGUGCAUCUGGUAUAGACAUGCUAAAAGACCACAGCCAAUCACACUUUUCAGUGUCUGCUUACAAAAAUUUAUACGCCCAUAGGAUUGUUAUGUAAGAAACUGAAGAUGGAAAUUAAAUCAAA